rnacentral:rRNA from 1 species
UAGGGAAUCUUGCGCAAUGGGCGAAAGCCUGACGCAGCAACGCCGCGUGCGGGAUGACGGCCUUCGGGUUGUAAACCGCUUUCAGCAGGGACGAAAUUGACGGUACCUGCAGAAGAAGCACCGGCCAACUACGUGCCAGCAGCCGCGGUAACACGUAGGGUGCAAGCGUUGUCCGGAUUCAUUGGGCGUAAAGGGCUAGUAGGCGGCUUGGCAAGUCGGAUGUGAAAACUCCAGGCUCAACCUGGAGACGCCAUUCGAUACUGCCAUGGCUAGAGUCCGGUAGGGGAGCACGGAAUUCCUGGUGUAGCGGUGAAAUGCUUAGAUAUCAGGAGGAACACCGGUGGCGAAGGCGGUGCUCUGGGCCGGAACUGACGCUGAAUAGCGAAAGCGUGGGUAGCAAACAGG